rnacentral:lncRNA from 1 species
GAGGAACGGCUGGACGCUGCAGACUGCACGCCGCGGCCGAACACAGGUGAUCAGUGUCACAUACUGAAGGUCCCAGAACAGCCCUUCAUCUGGUACUUCAGGACAUUGACUGUCUUGCAGAGGACUUGUGACAGAAAGAAGUGACACUGUUCUGUGACUAGAUGGAUAUUUCAAUUGCAAACACUGAGAACCUUCCAAUUUAACAAAAGAGCUCAUCUGUGCAGCAACUAGACUGUGCACUGGAAAGG